UCAGGUCAUUGUCAGGUGACAAUCAACUGUCGCUCCGAAAGCUAGUGUGCUUCCUGUUGGACUAUAACCUGGUGUUGUGUGAUUUUUUUAACUUUGUACACCCCAGUCCAACACCGGCAUCUCCAAAUCUUUUCUCCCCAAAGCUGACUGUUCCUGACCAGAGGAGCGCAUGCGUGAGACCCUCCCCCCGCGCUGCCAUUGAGGAGCAUUUACUCAGUGAGUGCAAGAGGUUUGUUUGAAACAGACCGCAAUGGAGAGAUCAGCGCCCAGGGAAGCGAGGGAACUGCAGGCUCCUUCUAGCAGCACAUCGGGAUGGGAGCCUGGGACACAGAGGGGGCUCCGAGACCGGGAUUGAUUCGGGGUUGUGAUGCAAAUUCAAAGAAGAUCGAAGAUCUGACGAGUUCGAAUUGACAGUGGGGCAGUCAUGGCGUGUAAGAACACCAAGCAAGUACUCAAAGGACCAAGAUAAUGUAAUAUUCCCUCGGUACAGAGCCAAGUGUGACCAGCUGCUUUGAACAAACAGCAGUUGCAAAUAUCUACAACGAGCUCUGCAUUCCUCUUCCCCCUCCCUCUGAUGUAUCACAAAAAAGCAUGAAAUCUGGCUGCAAUUUUCACUAUCCAUCAAUGGAAUCUAACAACUACCCUUCAAAGCAGUGGAGAAAGGAGAAAAAAACCCCAAAAUUGGAUGCGGUAAUCUAUGUCAAGGUGGGAAGUGGAUACAAUUCCGAAAUGUCCUUGAACCAAUCGACUUGCUCAGCCAAAAGGAGAUGCUGCCGACCUGCUGAGCUUCUGAAGCAAGUUUUUUAGAGUGUUCAUGCCAAGACUUCAGCUGGACCCCAGUGAAGAACGAGCGCAGAUCAAAGAUGAAGAAUAAAUUACCUGGCUCUGUGAGGUUGAUGGAAUUCCUGGUCACAUUAAAUAUCGUUCCAACCCCUGUUGAUCGCGACGCACUGGUAUCUGCCUUGGUGCUGGGGCUGGAAGGAUUCAAUGGCCAGCUCUCUCCUGUCUGAGCUCAAGUUGUAUUUCCUGCUGGCAUUAUUUAAGGCUUACCUUUGAAAGUACCAUUGAAAGUACGGUCCUGUACCUUGACACAAUACACACUCUCGAACAAGUCGAUUUCCAAGCGGAACCUCCAUUUUAUUGACUCUGGGGGUGAGGAAAACCCUGGCAACAGGAACUGGAACAAAACAAGACAAAGAGGAAAUAAAAGAUUGGAUGUUGAAAUUGUCUUUCUUUUCGCAGAUGUUAUCUUCUUUGAUCGGAUAAUAACUGACAGAA